CGGUAGAGGAGCAAUCCUCGAGAGUGGCGAACGGGUGAGUAAUACAUCGGAACGUGCCCAGUCGUGGGGGAUAACGUAGCGAAAGCUACGCUAAUACCGCAUACGACCCGAGGGUGAAAGCGGGGGACUCGCAAGAGCCUCGCGCGAUUGGAGCGGCCGAUGGCAGAUUAGGUAGUUGGUGGGGUAAAGGCCCACCAAGCCUGCGAUCUGUAGCUGGUCUGAGAGGACGACCAGCCACACUGGGACUGAGACACGGCCCAGACUCCUACGGGAGGCAGCAGUGGGGAAUUUUGGACAAUGGGCGAAAGCCUGAUCCAGCCAUACCGCGUGCGGGAAGAAGGCCUUCGGGUUGUAAACCGCUUUUGUCAGGGAAGAAAUACUUCGGGCUAAUACCCUGGGGUGAUGACGGUACCUGAAGAAUAAGCACCGGCUAACUACGUGCCAGCAGCCGCGGUAAUACGUAGGGUGCAAGCGUUAAUCGGAAUUACUGGGCGUAAAGCGUGCGCAGGCGGUUCUAUAAGACAGAUGUGAAAUCCCCGGGCUCAACCUGGGAACUGCAUUUGUGACUGUAGAGCUAGAGUACGGUAGAGGGGGAUGGAAUUCCGCGUGUAGCAGUGAAAUGCGUAGAUGUGCGGAGGAACACCGAUGGCGAAGGCAAUCCCCUGGACCUGUACUGACGCUCAUGCACG
rnacentral:rRNA from 1 species